rnacentral:rRNA from 1 species
UACGUAGGGUGCAAGCGUUAAUCGGAAUUACUGGGCGUAAAGCGUGCGCAGGCGGUGAUGUAAGACAGUUGUGAAAUCCCCGGGCUCAACCUGGGAACUGCAUUUGUGACUGUAGAGCUGGAGUACGGCAGAGGGGGGUAGAAUUCCACGUGUAGCAGUGAAAUGCGUAGAGAUGUGGAGGAACACCGAUGGCGAAGGCAGCCCCCUGGGUCAAGAUUGACGCUCAUGCACGAAAGCGUGGGGAGCAAACAGG